GCACGACUCAUAAUCGUGAGGUCGCGGGUUCGAGCCCCGCUCCUGCUACGA
rnacentral:tRNA from 1 species